rnacentral:rRNA from 1 species
CCUACGGGUGGCAGCAGUGGGGGAUAUUGCACAAUGGGGGAAACCCUGAUGCAGCGACGCCGCGUGGGCGAAGAAGUAUUUCGGUAUGUAAAGCCCUAUCAGCAGGGAAGAAGAAAUGACGGUACCUGAGUAAGAAGCACCGGCUAAAUACGUGCCAGCAGCCGCGGUAAUACGUAUGGUGCAAGCGUUAUCCGGAUUUACUGGGUGUAAAGGGAGCGUAGACGGCGAUGCAAGCCAGAUGUGAAAGCCCGGGGCUCAACCCCGGGACUGCAUUUGGAACUGUAUAGCUGGAGUGUCGGAGAGGCAGGCGGAAUUCCUAGUGUAGCGGUGAAAUGCGUAGAUAUUAGGAGGAACACCAGUGGCGAAGGCGGCCUGCUGGACGAUGACUGACGUUGAGGCUCGAAAGCGUGGGGAGCAAACAGGAUUAGAUACCCUGGUAGUC